rnacentral:tRNA from 1 species
GCACCUCUAGCUCAAUUGGCAGAGCAGUUGACUCUUAAUCAAUCGGUUCCCGGUUCGAGUCCGGGGGGGUGUA